rnacentral:tRNA from 1 species
AGUAAGAGGAAAAUCCGUCGACUUUCAAGAUCGUGAGGGGUCAAAUCCCUC